GAUUCUGGCUCAGAACGAACGCUGGUGGCGUGUCUAUACAUGCAAGUCGAGCGAGGCAGCAAUGCCGAGCGGCGAACGGGUGAGUAACGCGUAAGCAAUCUGCCCCAUAUCAGGAAAUACCCGUGCCAACGCGCGGUUAAUGUCCAGGAGAGUGGCCCUCUGCAUGGAGGGUUGACUAGAGAUUUAUCGGUAUGGGAUGAGCUUGCGUCCGAUUAGCUAGUUGGCGGGGCAACGGCCCACCAAGGCGACGAUCGGUAGCCGGCCUGAGAGGGUGAUCGGCCACAUUGGGACUGAGAUACGGCCCAGACUCCUACGGGAGGCAGCAGUAGGGAAUAUUGCACAAUGGGGGAAACCCUGAUGCAGCAACGCCACGUGUGGGAAGAAGCAUUUCGGUGUGUAAACCACUGUCAUGAGGGAAUAAGGCCCUUAUUCGUAAGGACUUGAAUGUACCUUGAGAGGAAGCACCGGCAAACUUCGUGCCAGCCGCCGC
rnacentral:rRNA from 1 species